GAAGAAAGUGCUUUUUCAUUGGUGCACAUUGCUAACAAAUACAUCAACAACUAUUUGCACAUGACGUGGUGGCUGGAAGGGAAAUAUCAGAAACUUUAAGGGAACAUUCAGUGAACACUUCUGCAAGGCUGACAGGAUUUCAGAAUUCCAUUUCCAGCGGACGAUACAGAGAACCGAGCAUGAAUUCUGUUUCAAAUCCUCCGAUUCAGUGGUGCUUUGUGAAUAUCAAGUGAUGAGAUUUCAAUCUGGCUGAGCUGUUCAGUUAUAAUGCAGCCUUCAGCACGGCCCUCUCCCUUAUUUGUGAUGCAUUUCAAAUUUGAAGUAGUAAAAAGUAGUCUUCUCAAACUGAAGCCUUUGUUCUCUGAACUCCUAAGAGUCUCUGUAGACAUAUUGAAGUGUUUUACACUGGAGGUUGUUGGUCAGGAAGACUCAGACUGAUAACAGAAAACAACAGGAAGAGUUGUGUGUUUUGUUGAGAUACACCAGGGGUGUUGAAAUCAACAGCUGGAGACAUGGUAUCUGCCAGUCUGUACUCAUCGGAGCUUGCAAUUGCAUGAUGGGCCUAAUUAUUUGACUAAGUGCCAAUGGUAAUACUUCUAACCAGGCUCUGAGAUAUAUGAUAAGUAUCUUUAAUUAAGGGAAUGACUUGAAUAAUAAACUUUGAAAUAGUAUUUUUCGUAACCUUGAAUACUCAGAUUGAAAAAAAACAAAACAGGAGGCACUAGUCCAGGGGCGAUCAGACUUGACACUUGAUAUUGAAGUGAUCGUCAGCACCUGGGUUCAUUAGCCAAUAAAGGAUCGUGGAAUACAAAUGCAAAUUGCCACAGUUUGUACAUCUUGUUUGACAUCCGUACUGUUUCUACUGUUUCAGCUGCGGAUAUUAUUCAGGACAGUAUUUGUGCAAGAAGAAACAUACAAAAAAUGUGCCAAAAAAAACAAAGAUUGCUUUUAAUUAACUGAACAGUAUUUUCAUAUUUUGCAUAAUGAAAACAAUUGCUCAUAAAAAAUAAGUUCAGAAAAUACAGUAAGAUCUUGAUAAUGCAGAUGUGAUCAAAGCUAGUUACAGUCAUGUUUCACUUCAGCCUGCAUGGUAUGAGGAAGUACUGUCAGUCCUGUGGAUGAUCACAUUGGCAGUGGCAUGCAUUAUGGUUGAGGGAUGUUGGCAUAUCAAACGCUGGGAAACAGUGGUUUCACGGUCUGCAUUUAUAUCUCAGAUCGCUUUUGAUUGGUGGAAACUAGCAUGUGUCCAUCGCCCGAACUUUUGUUGUGAUCUCCAGUUAAUUCUGAAAGGCAAUUACACAAAUGCGCAACGAUACUCUUUUCUGUCUUGAGCAAGAGUCGUAGUGAAAAUCCGUUAUACAGUACAUUGAGUAAAUUAUUUGAAACACUUGUAAAAGUUCAUAUAUUUUGUAUAUUUUAAAUGGUAAUGCUUUUGGUAGAAACCGUCAUGAUGGAUGUAGCUUUUGUAUCUCAGUGGACUGAAACAAGCCAACAAAAACUGACAGGACAUGAUGUACACAGAUAAGAAAAUGAAUGUAAAAGUUUUGAUAUCAAUUCAAUUUAAAUGUUUUAAAAAUGUUGUGUAAAGUGAAUUUACAAUAUUGUAUAUUUGUUCUGGUAGGCAGGCAAUUUGCAUUGGGGAAAAGAAAAGUAAAUUACAAACACAUCUUGUAAAUAUGUAUAUUCUCUUGAAGUGUUAAGAUUAUUGCUGGUUGACUUUCAGUGUUUGCUGUCUGCCUUUCUAAACCAUUGUGUUUAAAAAAUAAAUUCUACAAUGCUGUAGUUUGUAAUUGCAUUCUGCAUUGCACAAAACACAUUUUAUUCCCACUUUCAAAGUGUGUUCAGUUCCCUAAAGUAUUUGCUUAAAAUUUAAAUACAAAGUAGAAAUAAUCACUCAUUACAUUUCCUCACUGACAGGGGAGCUUGAAUGCAAGUCAGGAGGACAGUUGCAGAGUAGAGCAGAAAACGACAGCAGCUCUUGACAUUGUUGGAUCCAGUUUUACCAUAAAAAACCCUCUAGAGGAGGAUUAACUCAGGCUUUAGCUGGUAUCUCUCCAGGAAAAGUCUCCACUGUAAAGAUAGAGUAAAUCAAAGUUGAUGUCUCUCUCUUUCGUGAGUGUAGUUUUGCUUUCACUAUGGGUCUCCAGUCCAACUAAACAGUUCCAUCCAAUGUUAAAUGCCCAGCACACCACUUUGUAUAUUUCACCAUUCUGCCUUGAAUACUCCAGUUCUUAUGUGAAAAAAAUACUGGAUACUGCACAAAUAGAAAACUAUCUAAUCUUUAAAUAUUCAACAUUUCUUUUCAGAUAUUUUUGGAAAAAUAAAGAUUGUAUUCCCAUCUACCCUUGAUUCAAGAGGAGGUUAUUUUGAGAUUUCUUAAAACAAACAAGAAUUUGUUUCCUAAGACAAUUUCAUUUUGCCCAAUGCAUUAAAAUCAAAUAUUUUAAUUACAAAUAAAUUAAAUGUACCUUAAAAAUAUUAAAUUAUUGUGAAAUAUCUUUGUGAAAAAGAUACUUGAAAUGCAUUUGGGUUAUUUAAAAGUGCCUUUAUGAAUAAAUGGAAGUCAUUAAGAUGUAACAUUCUUAAAAUAAUAUUCCAGAUAUCUGAACAUUAUUUGAAGAUACUUUAGAACCAAAACACAAACUAGGGAAAGCAGAAACACAAAACCUCAUAAAACAUGUACCUUUACAAACUGUACCCAACAAAACUUAUGUUGAAAUCUGGUCAAGGGUACAAAUGACCCAUAUAAUAUGUGUUAUCUUAAAAAAAAGAUAUAUUUUCAGUAUGCGUCUCGUAACUCAAGAACAUGACAAGACUAUGAAAAUUAUAUGAAGUUUAUUAAAGUACAGCAAAAGAUAUAACACCUCUUACAGCAAGCCAAGAAAAACCAUUGAGGCGAGAAUCUUAUAUUUAAUAUGUAUAGAACAUAGGAACAUAUCUUAUGCUCAAUAACAGACUCAGCAUUUCAUUUUUUUAUGGUUUCAAGUUGUGAUGUGCUAUAAACGUUUUUUUACACAUGAUCUGUCAAUAAUUUAACAAGAAACAAUUCUGAAAGUCAAAACUUCUCAUAUCCCCAUAAAUUGAGCUUUUGUAGAGUUUCUGUUUUAAUAAACUGCACUUGAGCACUUUUUAACCACAUUUUUAAUCAACUAGAGCUCUUUGAUAUAGAGUUAAUAUCUGACUUUUAUUUUGACUUCAAACCCUGUGUAAUUUUUCCACCUCACACAGAUUAACUUGUCACCAGCCUUUGGUGAAAACUCAAUUCAAUCACGAGUAAAACUAAUUGCAAUUUAAGUCAAGGUUGAAUUUUGAAACAAGUAGCAUAUGAGCGCCUUACCAAAAACAAAUUGAGCUCCCUUUAAUGUUUUACCUCAGAGUUACUGUAUAUAUUUGCAAACAAAACAAAAAAAAUCACAUAAAGCCACAUUGUGAAUUUAGCAAGGAGAAACACAUUCAGCCAAACACUUUGCAGUCCUGACUAUUUAACAGGCACAAUACAUCACAUUAAAAAGGGCAGCAACACAUGAAACAGGGAUAGACUUAAUCUAAGAAACAGUAGAACUGUAGCUUAAAUCAAUGGUUUGUGGGCAGAUUAAGAAAAAUAGGUUUUAGUUCCUUUAAAUUACAGCCUUCUAAACAUUCAAACAGACUUUUGUUAUAAUGUCGCACUGUCUCCGACAACUGCCAUUGUAAACACAAGAACCAGCCCUAUUUCUCAGGCUAACUUUGCGAUCGUUGGAUUCUUCUGCUAUCACACACACACACCUUGAAACAGCAUGGACCUUUACUGUAUCUCUGGGCCCGGUUGAGAUAUCUCCAUGGCACCACAUUUCCAUUCAUUCCGGAUAUACAGUAGUACUGAGUUUUUAAAAAU